rnacentral:lncRNA from 1 species
GUUGCAAACCUAAAUCCAAACCUAAGUUCAGCCAUAUAUAAAGCAAACCUGAGAUGUCACAUCAUAUGUCACAACAUCAGAGGAAGAUAACAGAAGAGGAAACACCAAAGAUGGAGAUGCCAUUACUAUGGAAAAUUUGGCCACCUGAAGCCCUUCUGCUAUAAGCUGUAUGGUUAUCCUAGCCCUGUUCAUCAUCAGACUCACUAUCAACCAAGACCCAAACAUCACAGGCCUGUCAACAAGAAGCAAUGGGUUCCUAAGACAAAUGUUACAAGUCUAAUAACUCACACUUUCUUCAGAGUUUCAGCCAAAGAAGAUUGGUAUUUUGACAGUGGGUGCUCCAGACACAUGACUGGAAACAAAGACCUGAUAAAUGGCCUUCAUCCUCAUGCCAUGAGUUAUGUAACCUUUGGUGAUGGAGCAAAGGGUGAAACCAAGGGGAUUGGUAAGUUUGAUUGCCCUGGAGUUCCUGACCUUGACAAUGUCCUACUUGUUAAGGGCUUGACUGCAAAUCUAAUAAGCAUCAGUCAACUAUGUGACCAAGGUCUAAAUGUUAACUUCACUAAAACUGGAUGUCUGAUUACUAACAAAGAAAGUGAAGUGAUCAUGAAAGGAAUCAGGACCAAAGACAACUGUUACAUAUGGAUUUCUCAAAUUGGUUAUUCCUCAAAGUGUACCUUAGUCAAAGAAGAAGAAGUGAAAUCAUGGCAUAAAUGUUUGAGCAAUCUGCAUCUUAAAGAGAUGAAGAUGAGUAUAUCUGCUAGAAGAACUCCCAAAUUAAAGAUUGAUGAAAGAAAAGUCUGUGGGAAAUGUCAGACAAGGAUGUCACACCAGGAACUCAGACAUAACAUCACUUCCAAAAGUUUGAAACUCCUCCAUAUGGAUAAUAUUGGGUUUGGUAGGAGGUUAGAUCAGAUGGUAGAACAUGUUUCUAGUCAAAUACAGUCUGAAGUUGGAAAGAGACACUUCCAAAAGUUUGAAACUCCUCCAUAUGGAUAAUAUUGGGUUUGGUAGGAGGUUAGAUCAGAUGGUAGAACAUGUUUCUAGUCAAAUACAGUCUGAAGUUGGAAAGAGCUUUGUUGGACUUGGGCUACAAGUCAAGCAGAUAUAAGGGUCUAUGUGUCUAUCUCAAAGCAAAAGUGACAAGAACAAUGUUAAGAAGAUUGGGAUGGAGAGUGAAAGGACACCUGCUCCUACACAUUUGAAAGAUGAAAAUGGUGUUUGUGCUAUAUAUCAAACUGAAUAUAUAGCAGUUGGAAGUAGCUAUUCUCAACAGGGUUGGUUGAAACUACUGUUGACUAAAUACAAUGUCACACACGAUGUCAUGACAUUGUACUAUGACAACUUGAGUGUUACAACUAUGUCCAAAAAUCCUAUUCAGCACAGUUGGACCAAGCACAUUGAUUUUUGUCAUCACUUCAUUAGAGAAUUUGUGGAAUACAAAAUCACAACUCUAAAGCAUGAAAUGCAAUUAGCUGAUAAAUUUGCAAGGGUUUUGGAUGAUAGUCAGUUUGAAUGUUUAAGAGGGAAAUUGGGGAUUUUGAUUCUUGUGAAGUUAUAGCAAUUAAAGUGGAGUGGAAAAGGUAAUAAAAAUAUUGUCUGCCCACUUAAAAGAAAGAGCCACAUUAAUGAUAAGUUAUAGCAAUUAAAGUGGAGUGGAAAAGGUAAUAAAAAUAUUGUCUGCCCACUUAAAAGAAAGAGCCACAUUAAUGAUAAAUCAUUACCUAGUAUUGGAACUAGUAUCUAUGCCAUUUCCACACGUUACCUCAACACAACCAUUUCCAUCUUCAUCCUACUUCUCAGACAACCUCUGCUAGGGCAAAAAGAUUUUUAUCAAAAGUUCAACAAAAUAUCACAACAUCCCUCAUCCUCAGGAUCAAAACCCACUCAAAAAGGAAGGACUCUCUCCAUGAAGUUUCUGGAUGAAGAUACUCUGGAGGUUAUUCCCCUCUCUGUUAUUCCAGGCGACGUCCCUGGCCCUUCUUCCACGGUUGGAAGUAAUCAAGGUAACAUUCCUGAUAAAUCUCCUCAUAAGGAUGACAUGCACUUUACAGGUCGUGCCAUUAGGAACCUAGUAACUAGGAUUCUAAACGAAGGGCAUGCAGUCAAUGGUGUUUCUACCCCUCUGUCUAGAAGGGACCCCUCAUCUGAGGUGGAACCCCAAAUUGAGAAAGAUGAUGAUUCAUCUAGAUCAGAGAAAGAAGUGGCUGCUGAGGGAUUAUGCUCUCUAGGUUAAACCUUGCCUAGUAAGAAACCAGUAGAUGUUUCUCCUGAGAUUGCUAAGAAUGUUAUUAAUCUAGAGGAAAAGAGUUCAGAAGAAGAAGAGGACACCUUGGUUCAUCAUGUAAAACCAAGUGUUGCUAGGAAAUUGAAGACCAGAAAAGGGAAGACUGUGGCUGAGAUGUUGACAGCCAAAACUAGGAAGAAGACUGCUGGUGUAGGACCCUUCAAAUCAUGGAGUAAAGUUAAGGUAAAGAAGAGGAAGGUCAGAGAGAGUUCUGACUCUGAAGAGGAUGUCAAAGACGAUGUCCCAGACAUCUCUCCUGCUAAAAGGCAGGUUGUUAAAAAGUCCCCAGUCAAAGUGGCAGCUGUGCACUUAGACAACAUCUCUUUUCAUCUAGAAGAUGGUGCUGCCAAGUGGAAGUUUGUCAUUCAAAGGAGGGUUGAUGUUGAAAGGGAGCUGGGAAAGGAGGCUGUAGAAGUGAAGGAAGUGAUGGAAUUGAUCAAGAAUGCUGGUCUGAUGAAAACUGUUGUUGCUUUGCCCCAAUGUUUUGAAGGGUUAGUGAAAAAGUUUGUUGUGAAUAUCCCAGAGGAUAUUUCUGAAAAGAGUAGCAAGGAAUUCUGCAAGGUCUUUGUAAGAGGUAGAUGUGUGAGGUUCUCCCCAACCAUAAUCAACAAGUUCCUAGGGAGAGGAACUGAAGGAGUGUGGAUUUAGAGGCUACAGACAAUGAAGUCUGUAGGACUAUUACUGCUAGCCAAGUCAAGGAAUGGCCUAGUAAGAAGCAUCUAUCAGCUGGGCAAGUUAACUGUUAAAUAUGCCAUCUUGCACAAGAUUGGUUCAGCCAACUGGGUGCCAACUAACCAUAUCUCAACCAUCUCUAAUGGUCUUGGAAGAAUCAUCUAUGCUAUUGGAACCAUGCUAAACUUUGAUUUUGGAAGGUUUAUGUUUGAUCAAAUUGUUAAACAUGCCUCCACUAAUGCAGUAAAGCUGCCUAUUGCCUUUCCAUCCAUCAUUUGUGGAAUUAUCUUAAGCCAGCAAACAGGAAUUCUCAACACAAGUGAUAUUCCCAGCAGAAGGAAGCAUCCAUUGUCCAUUCACUACAAGUUGUUUGAAGGAAUCCAUGUCAAUGAUGUUGUCAUGACAUCUGCAAGGAAGGAGCCUGCCUCUCAAGGUAGCUUGAUUGAUCAAUUGAAGGAAACUUGUAAGGAGCUGGAUACUGGUAUUAGGGUUGCUAAGGAAAGGAAAGAGGCUUUGGAGGUUCUUAUUAGUAGCUUAGAGAAGGAAGAGAUGGAAAAGGAUGGUGAGACCAAGGAUUCAGAUGCCAAUUGUCAUACCCCAAUUUUGUCCGGACAUUUUAAAAAUUUCAUAAAUUAGAUUUUUUUUCAAUUUGCAUUAGUUGUACAUUAUAACAUGCAUUUCAUCAUAAAUAGUACCUAAAAUAUCAGUCAGGAUAAAUUUAUUAAAAAUACAGACAAAUUGGUUAAAUCUUUUCUCAAGUACGGACAAAAUCAGCGGAUAAAAAGUUUCGAAAUUAAAAUUGCAGACGCCAGUAUUAUUAAUCUACGGUUCAUGUAGUUUAAUCUGGUGUGCUCGUUGUAUUUUUCAGCGGCUGUUUCAGUUGCGUUUUGACCCGCCUGAGCCUUUUAACCGGUGAAAAUAUUUCAGAAUUUGAAGAAAUGCUGUAUUUUUUCAAUAAGUAUAUUUUGUACUGAUCAUUUUAGUGUGUCUGAUUUAAUUUUUUGAGCAAAUUUUCAUCCGACUUCUGUUUAUAAUCGGUUCUUUUAUUUCUUUGUUCUAGUAUUCAAAUCAGAGAUUGUUUUGUUAUUAUUAUUAUUAUUAUUCAAAUUAAAUUAUUGUCUAGGAGUUUUUAAUAAAUAUGUUUCUUUAAUAAUAGGUAAUAAUAAUGGUUAACAAAUAUAUUUUUGACAUUGAAUUUUUUCUCUCUACACGCCACCUAUCACCUCACUCACUUUAUAUCUUUCUAUAUCCCCUCAUUUAAUACCCUCACACGUUUCCUCCCUUAGACUCAUUGACUCACAUCACACAAAGACCUCUCUCUCUCAUCCAACGGUUCUAAAAAUAAAAAAUAAAUAAAAAGUGAAAAAGGAGAGUUCACUCAUAUACACCACUGGUCCAAGAGAAAAACGAAAAAACUUUAAAAGGAAACUUUGUUCCUCUUCUUCCAGGAGCAGUGACACCACCACUCCAAAACCCACUGAACUUCUUCUUCCCUUAACCUAGGCGCCACCCACAACAACAACUCUCCAUUACUUUUUAAAGCUACCACCAUCCCCAUCAUCUUCCGAGGAUCCUUCUGCAUCACCCUUCCUCCGACCAUAAAACUCCACCGUCAAUUUCGGCGAUAGCUCCACCGCGUUCACGACAACAAACACAGCUCAAACAUAACAUAGCGGCGACGUCACUUUUUCGAUUGGGUAACAUUUCAAUCUCAUAUUUUCUUUUGUGUUUGACCCCGUAUAGUUGUUGUUAUUCCAAUUUAUGUUUGCCGCACGUAGCUAGUUUGAGCAGCUUCAAUGUUACUGCAUCUAUUGUUUCGGUUAUGCGUUUGUGAUCCGACUUCACCACGCCAUUUUAGAUCCACCCUCAAUCUAAAUGACAUAAACCAAACUUUGAAAUCGCAGGCAUCUCGUUUUGGUUUGCUGCUGUUUAGUCUUGUAGUUCGAUCCUGUUUAUUUACCAAUAAAGCAUUUUAAUUAGUAUCAUAAGUUCUUGAAAUGUCCUAUGAUUAAAGUUUAGUUUUAUGAGGAAACGUGGGUAAUGUAAUUUCUUUUACUUGUUUUUUUUAAUAAACUUAAGAAAGAUGGAAGAUAUAAUCAACAUGGUAAUAAAUAGCCUUAAGAUACUGUAAUUUCUUUUACUUGUUUUUUUUAAUAAACUUAAGAAAGAUGGAAGAUAUAAUUAACAUGGUAAUAAAUAGCCUUAAGAUACUGUAAUUUCUUUUACUUGUUUUUUUUAAUAAUAAACUUAAGAAAGAUGGAAGAUAUAAUCAACAUGGUAAUAAAUAGCCUUAUGAUACUGGAAUUUCUUUUACUUGUUUUUUUAAUAAUAAACUUAAGAAAGAUGGAAGAUAUAAUCAACAUGGUAAUAAAUAGCCUUAAGAUAAAAGGUUCCUACUUUUUUUAUAGUUCAUACAUAGUGUUUAAUCUGGCUCCAUUUCAAUGUUGGACUUGGCGUUGGUGGAACUUAGUAAAUAAUUCUUCCAUGUAAGCUUUGUAUCGGAUUACUACUGUUUCGGUUGAUUAUGCAACUUUUAUGAUAUAUUGGAUUUUAAUAUACGGAUACGACCAUUUUAUGCCGAUAUGCCGUCAUAAUUUCGAUACAUCAAUGGAACAUUUCACCGAGUUAUGAGUUCGCGA